AUUGAACGCUGGCGGCAUGCUUUACACAUGCCAGUCGAACGGUAACAGGCCGCUAGGUGCUGGCGAGUGGCGGACGGGUGAGUAAUGCAUCGGAACGUGCCCAGUCGUGGGGGAUAACUACUCGCAAGAGUAGCUAAUACCGCAUACGAUCUAUGGAUGAAAGCGGGGGACCGUAAGGCCUCGCGCGAUUGGAGCGGCCGAUGUCAGAUUAGGUAGUUGGUGGGGUAAAGGCUCGCCAAGCCAACGAUCUGUAGCUGGUCUGAGAGGACGACCAGCCACACUGGGACUGAGACACGGCCCAGACUCCUACGGGAGGCAGCAGUGGGGAAUUUUGGACAAUGGGCGCAAGCCUGAUCCAGCAAUGCCGCGUGCAGGAAGAAGGCCUUCGGGUUGUAAACUGCUUUUGUACGGAACGAAACGGCUCUGGUUAAUACCCGGGGCUAAUGACGGUACCGGAAGAAUAAGCACCGGCUAACUACGUG
rnacentral:rRNA from 1 species